rnacentral:rRNA from 1 species
AGUGAACGCUGGCGGUAGGCCUAACACAUGCAAGUCGAACGGCAGCACAGUAAGAGCUUGCUCUUACGGGUGGCGAGUGGCGGACGGGUGAGGAAUACAUCGGAAUCUACUUUUUCGUGGGGGAUAACGUAGGGAAACUUACGCUAAUACCGCAUACGACCUACGGGUGAAAGCAGGGGAUCUUCGGACCUUGCGCGAUUGAAUGAGCCGAUGCCGGAUUAGCUAGUUGGCGGGGUAAAGGCCCACCAAGGCGACGAUCCGUAGCUGGUCUGAGAGGAUGGUCGCCAGCACUGGAGGGUGAACGGGGCCAAGGCCCCUGCGGUAGGGCCCAGUGGGAAAUGUGAGACAGGGGGGGGGAAUAUUGUCCACCGGGCGGGGGGGGGAAGAAGCAGCUCCGGGUGUGGAAUGCCGUUUUUUGGGAAAAAAAACGCAGUAGCUUAUUACCCAGCUUUAGUGACGGUAACGAAAAAAGAAGCACCGGCUAACUCCGUG